rnacentral:rRNA from 1 species
AAGACCUUGCGCUUUUGGAGCGGCCGAUGCCUGAUUAGCUUGUUGGUAAGGUAAGGGCUUACCAAGGCUUCGAUCAGUAGCUGGUCUGAGAGGACGGCCAGCCACACUGGGACUGAGACACGGCCCAGACUCCUACGGGGGGCAGCAGUGGGGAAUUUUGGACAAUGGGGGAAACCCUGAUCCAGCCAUGCCGCGUGAGUGAAGAAGGCCUUCGGGUUGUAAAGCUCUUUCAGCCGGAACGAAACGGUUACGGAUAAUACUCGUGACUACUGACGGUACCGGAAGAAGAAGCACCGGCUAACUACGUGCCAGCAGCCGCGGUAAUACGUAGGGUGCGAGCGUUAAUCGGAAUUACUGGGCGUAAAGCGUGCGCAGGUGGUUUUGUAAGUCAGAUGUGAAAGCCCCGGGCUCAACCUGGGAACU